CGGUGGAGCAUGUGGUUUAAUUCGAUGCUACGCGAAAAACCUUACCACUUUUUGACAUGAAGGUCGUAUCCCUCCUAACAGGGGGAGUCAGUUCGGCUGGACCUUACACAGGUGCUGCAUGGUUGUCGUCAGCUCGUGUCGUGAGAUGUUGGGUUAAGUCCCGCAACGAGCGCAACCCUCAUUCUUAGUUACCAACAGGUAAUGCUGGGCACUCUAAGGAAACUGCCAGUGAUAAACUGGAGGAAGGUGGGGAUGAUGUCAAAUCAGCACGGCCCUUAUAGGGUGGGCUACACACGUGCUACAAUGGCAACUACAAUAGGUUGCGAGACCGCAAGGUUUAGCUAAUCCAUAAAAGUUGUCUCAGUUCGGAUUGUUCUCUGAAACUCGAGAGCAUGAAGUCGGAAUCGCUAGUAAUCGUGGAUCAUCACGCCACGGUGAAUACGUUCUCGGGUCUUGUACACACUGCCCGUCACGCCAUGGGAAUUGGCUUAACUCGAAGCUGGUGUGCUAACCGCAAGGAAGCAGCCAUUUAAGGUUGGGUUAGUGACUAGGGUG
rnacentral:rRNA from 1 species